rnacentral:misc_RNA from 1 species
AAACAAUGAUGGAGAGAGGGUGAGUGUUGCACGCUAACAAAAAAACAGAGAGAAAAAAAAAGGGAAAGUGUUUUGAGAGAUUUUUAACUGCUAGUUUUGGUUUUCUUUAUUUUGUGAAAUUCCCCCCUCUGAUUCUCCCCGCUUCUCUGAAUCCCUUUCUGUUAAUCAUCUGUCUUUCAGGUUCUGAUUUUCGGGUUUGUUUUUGAGAAAAUUUUAUAAAGAAAUGAGUACAAAGCAAACUUAAGAAGGAUUUCUCGAAAGCCAGGUGUUUUCAGAAUCGAGAUCCAGGUUUUUUUUUUUUAAAUAAUUUUUCCCAAGUUUUUCUCUUUAUUUUCUUGUAUUUUCAGCUGUUUUUUUUUUUUUUCUUAGCUGAAUCAGCUUGGAGGGUUAUUUUUUGGUCCCUCAAGGUUGGUUAUUAGGCCUUUCAAUCGUUUAGGGGUUGUCUAAUUUUAAACCUCUUUGAUCUUUCUUUCUUUCUAAAAAAAACCUGUUCUUGAACUUGUUCAAGUACGGGUGGGUUGUUUUUUAAAUCUUGAUUUUUAAUAAUCCUAGUUGAAAAUUUUAGCUUCUGAAGCAUGGCAGCUAUGACGGAUUUACACAGUAGCAGACAUCCUCAGUCAGCCCCCUUUGGGGGUGAGCUAAUGGAAGCACUUGAGCCUUUUAUGAAAAGUGCUUCCUCUUCAACUACGCCUUCUCCUCCUCCUUCUCCUUCUUCUUACCCUCCUUUUUCCUCUUCUUUACCCCCUCUUCCCUCUACUUCUUACAAUUACCUAUCCUUUUCUUCUUCUUCUUCUUCUAUGUGAGAGAAACAGAACGGUAGAGAAUCAGAAGCAAGUGGUGGUCUUGAUAGAAUAUGCAGAACGUAGAAAGAAGAUUGGUUGGUCUUGUUUUGGUUCAACAAAUGGGAGAGAAAAAGUGUGAAAUUGGAAGUAGGAGCGGCGUGAAUAAAGGGAAGAAAAAAAAUAUCAAAGUGAAAGGAGAGAGAGACACAGACAUAGAGUAUAACUAACAU